CUACGCACGUGACGCAUCGGGAGGGAUGUGGCGGCGAUGUGGCUGCUGCGGGCUGCCCGGCAUACGCCUGCCGAAAUUGCCUGUAUCUGAUGGGACAGAAAGCUGUCUUUUCUCCGCGAUAUUUCUUGCCGUUUGGGGGGAAAAAGAAGUAGGAAUCAUCUAAUGCAGAGUAUGAAAUAUUUUUUCUUCUUCGUUGUCUUCCAAUUUUGCAGAAAAUUUGAUGAAUGUAAUCCUUGUGUGCCCUAGGAAAUUUGCCAGACAUUAAGGAGAUUCUCGUAUACGUUUCACAGAUUGCUUCACAUGUAAGAAGCACCUGGCUAGACAUAUCCUUAAACAGUGACCUUUUCCUCACCUCUCUACAGUAGGUGCUUGGGGGCAGAAAUGCAUGACGAAAGCAGGCGGGGAAGGUGAAGCAACAUCAGUCUUUGUACCAGCACGUAAAUACCAAGAAAAUGUUACAAAGCUAACAUAGCUAGCUAUUGUGACUAUAAUGAGAAGCAGUAUUGUGUAUAAAUUUAAGCACCAAGAAACAAAUAAAGAAUAAAAUUACACUCUUCCCUGCCUUCUGCCCUUUGUUUGCUAGAAGAGGCUACAGGGACCUGUACCACAUAAGAAGCAUUGAAGAUGGGUGGAUAGUUAGCAAUUUGAUUUCCAACCCAUGACCAUCUUGC